rnacentral:rRNA from 1 species
AUUGAACGCUGGCGGCAUGCCUUACACAUGCAAGUCGAACGGUAACGGGCCUUCGGGUGCCGACGAGUGGCGAACGGGUGAGUAAUGCAACGGAACGUACCUUUCAGUGGGGGAUAACGUAGCGAAAGUUACGCUAAUACCGCAUAUUCUGUGAGCAGGAAAGCAGGGGAUCGCAAGACCUUGCGCUGAUUGAGCGGCCGAUGUCAGAUUAGCUAGUUGGUGAGGUAAAGGCUCACCAAGGCGACGAUCUGUAGCGGGUCUGAGAGGAUGAACCGCCACACUGGAACUGAGACACGGUCCAGACUCCUACGGGAGGCAGCAGUGGGGAAUUUUGGACAAUGGGGGCAACCCUGAUCCAGCCAUGCCGCGUGAGUGAAGAAGGCCUUCGGGUUGUAAAGCUCUUUCGGCCGGGAAGAAAUCGUAUGGGCUAAUACCCUGUGCGGAUGACGGUACCGGCAUAAGAAGCACCGGCUAACUACGUGCCAGCCGCCGCAGUAAGAC